rnacentral:lncRNA from 1 species
CUACUUUGUACAGCCGUACAGGCGAAUGAGAAUGGUGGCAGAACCUUGAACGAGUUCCUCAUGGCGGGGCACAUCCAUCACGAUCUAUACCUGCAACACAUGGAAGUACGGCAAGCAGAUGCAUCAAAGAAGCUCGAAAUGCUGCGUCUUUCACCGAACUCUACUUCCCAAAUCGGCCUAAUACCCCACGGCAUCGCAGGUUCGCAACAGCGCUUGAGCUCCCCUCGCAGUGCCGGCCAGCGCCUGCCUAACACGCGCGCAAUUCGCACCCGCGUAAUCCCCCACGCACGGCGAGCACAUGCGCUGAAUCGGCCACACGUUUUCUGCAUCCCAUGUUCGCUCAUGAGCGCGGCUUCGAUCCCUAUAUAUGUUCACGCACACACUGAACACCGGCGCCAACUCGAGAACUCUGAAGACUCAGCUCUCACCUCCUACGGGGUUCUACCUCUGCUUCUUCUGCUGCUCGAUCAGGAAGAGAGACAGACAGAGUGAAAGCGAGAGAGAUAUAUAUACGAUGAUGAUGGCAGCGCCGGCGAAGUCAAUCGGGAUGGCCGGGAAGAAG